rnacentral:rRNA from 1 species
AUUGAACGCUGGCGGCAGGCUUAACACAUGCAAGUCGAGCGGGGUGAUGGUGCUUGCACUAUCACUUAGCGGCGGACGGGUGAGUAAUGCUUAGGAAUCUGCCUAUUAGUGGGGGACAACAUCUCGAAAGGGAUGCUAAUACCGCAUACGUCCUACGGGAGAAAGCAGGGGAUCACUUGUGACCUUGCGCUAAUAGAUGAGCCUAAGUCGGACUAGCUAGUUGGUGGGGUAAAGGCCUACCAAGGCGACGAUCUGUAGCGGGUCGGAGAGGAUGAUCCGCCAAACUGGGACAGAGACACGGCGCAGACUCCUACGGGAGGCAGCAGUGGGUAAUAUUGGACAAUGGGGGGAACCCUGAUCCAGCCAUGCCGCGUGUGUGAAGAAGGCCUUAUGGUUGUAAAGCACUUUAAGCGGGGAGGAGGCUCUUUUGGUUAAUACCCAAGAUGAGUGGACGUUACUCGCAGAAUAAGCACCGGCUAACUCUGUGCCAGCCGCCGCAGUAA